rnacentral:piRNA from 1 species
AGCAGAGGACCUGCCUGGAACAGUGGU